UACGUAGGGGGCAAGCGUUGUCCGGAAUCAUUGGGCGUAAAGAGCGCGUAGGCGGUCCGGUAAGUCCGCUCUGAAAGCCCGGGGCUCAACCCCGGGAGGCGGGCGGAUACUGUCGGGCUAGAGUCCGGAAGAGGCGAGUGGAAUUCCUGGUGUAGCGGUGAAAUGCGCAGAUAUCAGGAGGAACACCGAUGGCGAAGGCAGCUCGCUGGGACGGUACUGACGCUGAGGAGCGAAAGCGUGGGGAGCAAACAGG
rnacentral:rRNA from 1 species